rnacentral:rRNA from 1 species
UUCCACGGGUUCCGUGUCGGAGCUAACGCGUUAAGCAUCCCGCCUGGGGAGUACGGCCGCAAGGCUAAAACUCAAAGAAAUUGACGGGGGCCCGCACAAGCGGCGGAGCAUGCGGAUUAAUUCGAUGCAACGCGAAGAACCUUACCUGGGCUUGACAUGUUCCCGACAGCCGUAGAGAUAUGGCCUCCCUUCGGGGCGGGUUCACAGGUGGUGCAUGGUCGUCGUCAGCUCGUGUCGUGAGAUGUUGGGUUAAGUCCCGCAACGAGCGCAACCCUCGCCCUGUGUUGCCAGCACGUCAUGGUGGGAACUCACGGGGGACCGCCGGGGUCAACUCGGAGGAAGGUGGGGAUGACGUCAGAUCAUCAUGCCCCUUACGUCCAGGGCUUCACGCAUGCUACAAUGGCCGGUACAACGGGAUGCGACACGGCGACGUGGAGCGGAUCCCUGAAAACCGGUCUCAGUUCGGAUUGGAGUCUGCAACCCGACUCCAUGAAGGCGGAGUCGCUAGUAAUCGCGGAUCAGCAACGCCGCGGUGAAUGCGUUCCCGGGCCUUGUACACACCGCCCGUCAAGUCAUGAAAGUGGGUAGCACCCGAAGCCGGUGGCCUAACCCUUUGUGGAUGGAGCCGUCUAAGGUGAGACUCGUGAUUGGGACUAAGUCGUAACAAGGUAGCCGUACCGGAAGGUGCGGCUG